AGAGUUUGAUCAUGGCUCAGAUUGAACGCUGGCGGCAGGCCUAACACAUGCAAGUCGAGCGGAUGACAGGAGCUUGCUCCUGAAUUCAGCGGCGGACGGGUGAGUAAUGCCUAGGAAUCUGCCUGGUAGUGGGGGACAACGUCUCGAAAGGGACGCUAAUACCGCAUACGUCCUACGGGAGAAAGCAGGGGACCUUCGGGCCUUGCGCUAUCAGAUGAGCCUAGGUCGGAUUAGCUAGUUGGUGAGGUAAUGGCUCACCAAGGCGACGAUCCGUAACUGGUCUGAGAGGAUGAUCAGUCACACUGGAACUGAGACACGGUCCAGACUCCUACGGGAGGCAGCAGUGGGGAAUAUUGGACAAUGGGCGAAAGCCUGAUCCAGCCAUGCCGCGUGUGUGAAGAAGGUCUUCGGAUUGUAAAGCACUUUAAGUUGGGAGGAAGGGCAGUAACUUAAUACGUUGCUGUUUUGACGUUACCGACAGAAUAAGCACCGGCUAACUCUGUGCCAGCAGCCGCGGUAAUACAGAGGGUGCAAGCGUUAAUCGGAAUUACUGGGCGUAAAGCGCGCGUAGGUGGUUUGUUAAGUUGGAUGUGAAAGCCCCGGGCUCAACCUGGGAACUGCAUUCAAAACUGACAAGCUAGAGUAUGGUAGAGGGUGGUGGAAUUUCCUGUAGCGGUGAAAUGCGUAGAUAUAGGAAGGAACACCAGUGGCGAAGGCGACCACCUGGACUGAUACUGACACUGAGGUGCGAAAGCGUGGGGAGCAAACAGGAUUAGAUACCCCAGUAGUCC
rnacentral:rRNA from 1 species